CCUACGGGAGGCAGCAGUGAGGAAUAUUGGUCAAUGAGCGAGAGUCUGAACCAGCGAAGUAGCGUGAAGGAUGACUGCCCUCUGGGUUGUAAACUUCUUUUAUAUGGGAGUAAAAUGUUCCACGUGUGGGAUUUUAUAUGUACCAUAUGAAUAAGGAUCGGCUAACUCCGUGCCAGCAGACGCGGUAAUACGGAGGAUACGACGGUUAUCCGGAUUUAUUGGGUUUAAAGGGAGCGUAGGGGGAUUGGUAAGUCAGUUGUGAAAGUUUGCGGCUCAACCGUAAAAUUGCAGUUGAAACUGGCAGUCUUGAGUACAGUAGAGGUGGGCGGAAUUCGUGGUGUAGCGGUGAAAUGCUUAGAUAUCACGAAGAACUCCGAUUGCGAAGGCAGCUCACUGGACUGCAACUGACACUGAGGCUCGAAAGUGUGGGUAUCAAACAGGAUUAGAUACCCUGGUAGUC
rnacentral:rRNA from 1 species